UCAAACGUUGAAGGGCUUCUGACGGAUGCCUUGGCGUAGAGAGGCGAUGAAGGACGUGGCAAGCUGCGAUAAGAACCGGGGAGGCGCUAGCACCCUUUGAUCCGGUUAUUUCCGAAUGGGGAAACCCACCUUUACAGUCUUCCAACUCUGUUUCUUCGGAGACAGCGAUUGGCGGAUUGUUAAAAGGUAUAAUGAGCUGAAUACAUAGGCUUCAUUAAGCGAACCCGGGGAACUGAAACAUCUCAGUACCCGGAGGAAAGGACAUCAACCGAGACUCCCGUAGUAGUGGCGAGCGAACCGGGACCAGGCCAGUGCUCUUGUGAAAUAAAGACGAACGAUCUGGAAAGGUCGGCCAUAGUGGGUGAAAGCCCCGUAGUCAUCAAACAGCAAGAGACUCGAGUAGGGCGGGACACGUGAAAUCCUGUCUGAACAUGGGGGGACCACCCUCCAAGCCUAAGUACUCCUCUACGACCGAUAGUGAACAAGUACCGUGAGGGAAAGGUGAAAAGCACCCCGACAAGGGGAGUGAAACAGAUCCUGAAAUCGGAAGCCUACAAGCAGUCGGAGCCGCCAAGCGCGGUGACGGCGUACCUUUUGUAUAAUGGGUCAGCGACUUCAUGUGUCGAGCAAGCUUAAGCCGUUAGGUGUAGGCGCAGCGAAAGCGAGUCUGAAUAGGGCGCUAAGUUCGACGUAUGACGACCCGAAACCAGGUGAUCUAUCCAUGAGCAGGUUGAAGGUUAGGUAACACUAACUGGAGGACCGAACCCGUGAAUGUUGAAAAAUUCUGGGAUGACUUGUGGAUAGGGGUGAAAGGCCAAUCAAACCUGGACAUAGCUGGUUCUCCGCGAAAUCUAUUUAGGUAGAGCGUCCGACGAAUUCCUUGGGGGGUAGAGCACUGGAUGGUUGCGGGCUGCGCGAGCGGUACCAAUACUAACCAAACUCCGAAUACCCAAGAGAACUAUCGGGCAGACACACGGCGGGUGCUAACGUCCGUCGUGAAAAGGGAAACAACCCUAACCAUCAUCUAAGGCCCCCAAGUCACGGCUAAGUGGGAAACGAUGUGGGAUUGCUUUGACAAUCAGGAGGUUGGCUUAGAAGCAGCCAUCCUUUAAAGAAAGCGUAACAGCUCACUGAUCAAGCGAUCCUGCGCGGAAAAUGUAACGGGGCUCAAGCCGUGCGCCGAAGAUAUGGGUUUGCAGUUUACUGCAAGCGGUAGCGGAGCGUUCCGUAAGCCGGUGAAGGUCAGGCGUGAGCCUGGCUGGAGGUAUCGGAAGUGAGAAUGCUGACAUGAGUAACGAUAAGAGUGUGAGAGACACUCUCGCCGAAAGACCAAGGGUUCCUGCGUAAAGCUAAUCUGCGCAGGGUUAGUCGGCCCCUAAGGCGAGGCUGAAAAGCGUAGUCGAUGGGAAGCAGGUAAAUAUUCCUGCACCAGCUGGAAGUGACGGAUGGCUUAACUCGUACCCACUUAUUGGAUUGUGUGUGCGGGGGCGUUGUCCCAGGAAAUAACUCCAGCAGAGACCGUACCCGAAACCGACACAGGUGGUCAGGUAGAGCAUACCAAGGCGUUUGAGAGAACUGUGCUGAAGGAACUCGGCAAAUUGCACGCGUAACUUCGGAAUAAGCGUGACUCACCUUGCGCAAGCAGGAAUGAGUGGCACAAGCCAGGGGGUAGCGACUGUUUAGCAAAAACACAGGGCUCUGCGAAGCAGCAAUGCGACGUAUAGGGUCUGACGCCUGCCCGGUGCCUGAAGGUUAAAGGGAGGAGUGAAAGCUCCGAACUGAAGCCCAGGUAAACGGCGGCCGUAACUAUAACGGUCCUAAGGUAGCGAAAUUCCUUGUCGGGUA
rnacentral:rRNA from 1 species